GUUGUUUGUUUGUUGUUUGUUUGUUGUUUGUUUGUUGUUUGUUUGUUGUUUGUUUGUUGUUUGUUUGUUGUUUGUUUGUUGUUUGUUUGUUGUUUGUUUGUUGUUUGUUUGUUGUUUGUUUGUUGUUUGUUUGUUGUUUGUUUGUUGUUUGUUUGUUUGUUGUUUGUUUGUUUGUUGUUUGUUUGUUGUUUGUUUGUUGUUUGUUUGUUUGUUGUUUGUUUGUUGUUUGUUUGUUGUUUGUUUGUUGUUUGUUUGUUGUUUGUUUGUUUGUUUGUUUGUUUGUUUGUUUGUUUGUUUGUUUGUUUGUUUGUUUGUUUGUUUGUUUGUUUGUUUGUUUGUGUAGUAAGUUGGCAGCUAA